UACGGAGGGUGCAAGCGUUAUCCGGAUUCACUGGGUUUAAAGGGUGCGUAGGCGGAUUGGUAAGUCCGUGGUGAAAUCUCCGAGCUUAACUCGGAAACUGCCAUGGAUACUAUUAGUCUUGAAUAUUGUGGAGGUUAGCGGAAUAUGUCAUGUAGCGGUGAAAUGCAUAGAUAUGACAUAGAACACCAAUUGCGAAGGCAGCUGGCUACACAAAUAUUGACACUGAGGCACGAAAGCGUGGGGAUCAAACAGG
rnacentral:rRNA from 1 species